AGCGUACGCUGGCGGCAGGCCUAACACAUGCAAGUCGAACGAACUCUUCGGAGUUAGUGGCGGACGGGUGAGUAACACGUGGGAACGUGCCUUUAGGUUCGGAAUAACUCAGGGAAACUUGUGCUAAUACCGAAUGUGCCCUUCGGGGGAAAGAUUUAUCGCCUUUAGAGCGGCCCGCGUCUGAUUAGCUAGUUGGUGAGGUAAAGGCUCACCAAGGCGACGAUCAGUAGCUGGUCUGAGAGGAUGAUCAGCCACAUUGGGACUGAGACACGGCCCAAACUCCUACGGGAGGCAGCAGUGGGGAAUCUUGCGCAAUGGGCGAAAGCCUGACGCAGCCAUGCCGCGUGAAUGAUGAAGGUCUUAGGAUUGUAAAAUUCUUCCACCGGGGACGAUAAUGACGGUACCCGGAGAAGAAGCCCCGGCUAACUUCGUGCCAGCCGCCGUAACAC
rnacentral:rRNA from 1 species